GCUGGCGGCGUGCCUAAUACAUGCAAGUCGAGCGAACAGAUAAGGAGCUUGCUCCUUUGACGUUAGCGGCGGACGGGUGAGUAACACGUGGGUAACCUACCUAUAAGACUGGAAUAACUCCGGGAAACCGGGGCUAAUGCCGGAUAACAUAUAGAACCGCAUGGUUCUAUAGUGAAAGAUGGUUUUGCUAUCACUUAUAGAUGGACCCGCGCCGUAUUAGCUAGUUGGUAAGNNNAUGGCUUACCAAGGCGACGAUACGUAGCCGACCUGAGAGGGUGAUCGGCCACACUGGAACUGAGACACGGUCCAGACUCCUACGGGAGGCAGCAGUAGGGAAUCUUCCGCAAUGGGCGAAAGCCUGACGGAGCAACGCCGCGUGAGUGAUGAAGGGUUUCGGCUCGUAAAACUCUGUUAUUAGGGAAGAACAUAUGUGUAAGUAACUGUGCAC
rnacentral:rRNA from 1 species